UUGGAAGUCAGGGCAGCCAAGAGCGAGGAGACAAGGGUGCGGGAGAUUAGUUGUGUGGGCAGUGCGGGUGGGGCUUGGGGGCGGCUGGUGAGUACUGCGGGGGAGAUCUUGGUUUGGAGUUUUCUACAGUCUUGCAGUCUUGCGUUGGGUAGAAUCACACUGCUCGCCUUUGUACGAGAAACGGUGUCUCCUGAGGCAAGGAAGGAGCCAGGAUGGCCUGGGCUCUGAAGCUGCCUCUGGCCGAUGAGGUGAUUGAAUCCGGGCUGGUGCAGGACUUUGAUGCUAGUCUUUCCGGGAUCGGCCAGGAACUGGGUGCUGGUGCCUAUAGCAUGAGUGAUGUCCUAGCAUUGCCCAUUUUUAAGCAAGAAGAGUCAAGUUUGCCUCCAGAUAAUGAGAAUAAAAUCCUCCCUUUUCAAUACGUGCUUUGUGCUGCCACCUCUCCAGCAGUGAAACUCCAUGAUGAAACCCUGACAUAUCUCAAUCAAGGCCAGUCUUAUGAAAUCCGAAUGCUAGACAAUAGGAAACUUGGAGAACUUCCAGAAAUUAAUGGCAAGUUGGUGAAGAGUAUAUUCCGUGUCGUGUUCCAUGACAGACGGCUACAAUACACUGAACAUCAGCAGCUGGAGGGCUGGAGGUGGAACCGACCUGGAGAUAGAAUUCUUGACAUAGAUAUCCCAAUGUCUGUGGGUAUAAUCGAUCCUAGGGCUAAUCCAAACCAACUAAAUACAGUGGAGUUCCUGUGGGACCCUGCAAAGAGGACAUCUGUGUUCAUUCAGGUGCAUUGUAUUAGCACAGAGUUCACUAUGAGGAAACAUGGUGGAGAGAAGGGAGUGCCAUUUCGAGUACAAAUCGAUACCUUCAAGGAGAAUGAGAACGGGGAAUAUACUGAGCACUUACACUCAGCCAGCUGCCAGAUCAAAGUCUUCAAGCCCAAAGGUGCAGACAGAAAACAAAAAACAGAUAGGGAGAAAAUGGAGAAACGAACGCCUCAUGAGAAGGAGAAAUAUCAACCUUCCUAUGAGACAACUAUACUCACAGAGUGUUCUCCAUGGCCCGAGAUCACAUAUGUCAAUAAUUCCCCAUCACCUGGCUUCAACAGUUCCCAUAACAGUUUUUCUCUUGGGGAAGGAAAUGGUUCACCAAACCACCAGCCAGAGCCACCCCCUCCAGUCACAGAUAACCUCUUGCCAACAACCACACCUCAGGAGGCUCAGCAGUGGUUGCAUCGAAACCGUUUUUCCACAUUCACAAGGCUUUUUACAAACUUCUCAGGGGCAGAUUUAUUGAAGCUAACUAGAGAUGAUGUGAUUCAAAUCUGUGGCCCUGCAGAUGGAAUCAGACUUUUUAAUGCAUUGAAAGGCCGGAUGGUGCGCCCAAGGCUAACCAUUUACGUUUGUCAGGAAUCCUUGCAGCUGAGGGAGCAGCAGCAACAGCAGCAGCAACAGCAGCAGAAGCAUGAGGAUGGAGACUCAAAUGGUACUUUCUUCGUUUACCAUGCCAUCUACCUAGAAGAACUGACAGCUGUUGAACUGACAGAAAAAAUCGCUCAGCUUUUCAGCAUUUCCCCUUGCCAGAUCAGCCAGAUCUACAAGCAGGGGCCCACAGGAAUCCAUGUGCUCAUUAGUGACGAGGUAGAUUUUCAGCACAGCUGAAUCACCAGACGACAGUGAUUUGUCUGGGCAGAUGACAGGAGCAGGAACCGUUCUACUGGGGCAGAGUGCUCUGUUUUCUAAGACGAGAUGAUACAGAACUUUCAGGAAGAAGCCUGUUUUAUUCUGGACACAAUGAAAGCAGAAACCAAUGAUAGCUAUCAUAUCAUACUGAAGUAGGUGUGGGGCAUUCCGUCCUCAGUGGCUGCUGCUGCUUUCGCCUAUGGGAACUCCCCUCUCGAAGGGGGUCUUGCAAAUGGAGCUCUGAAGGGCUGCAAGAACCUGACCCAUCUGACUGUGUCCAGGCCUUGGAGGCAGAAUCCCAGGCAUCUGUUGGCCCAGGCUCUUAGGGCACCCACAGAUUACUGCCCAACAUGCAUUUCUGCAACGAUUUCUUAUUUAAAAUUUCUGGACCCUAUUGUUGUUGAAUAUCAAUAGAAAACUCCACAUCAUUUAGGGUGUGUGUAGGGCAUAAUGAUGAUGAGAAUUGUGUGAUGUUUAAUGGAAAGAUGUUAAAUUUUGUGAUAUGGAGCCAUGUAAUUUUUUUUUCUAACAUAAAAGCAAACAUCUAUAUUCAUAAGACUAGAUCCUCAACCUUUUUUGCCCCUGAAAAACCUCAUUAAAGAGAAAUAUGGAGAAAGAAGAAAAUUCUUCUUUUGAUUCCCCUGUAAUUCUAUGACUAAUAGUAAUUUUAGGUAACAUUUAUUGCACAUUUAGUUGUGUGAGGCAGUGUGAUAAAUUCUUUAAAUAGAUUACCUUGUUUAAAUCCUCUUAAUAGCCCUAUAUGAAGUAGGUAAUAAUGAUCCCUAAUUGAAGAUGAGGAAAUGGAGACAGAGUGGCCGAGGAGCUUGCUGAGUAACAGGCAGCUAGCAGCUAGUGACACUGAAAUGCAAACCCAGGCCGUCUGGCUCUUAUUAACAGCCACCCUUGCAGUCCUCUGUGCUUGCCACCGUUUCCUACUGUGGCUCUUCUGGUGAAUUGGAUCUAACACUGAGCGAGAACUGAGGAAUUAACACCAAAAGGGACAAACCACACCUAAAUAAUGAUGAACAAAUCAAGACCUACAAAAAAAUGAAAACAUAGACACUUUCAAAGCAUCAUCAGUUACCAGAUUCACAGAAUUUGAGGUGGUGAAAACUAGGGAUUAUCUGUAACUCCCCAAAUUCACUGUUCUUGAAUGACCUUCUCAAACUAUUAAUGAGUUAGACUAACCUCUGCUUUCUCUUUCCCCUCUCUGCAUCUUCUCUUGGUAUAGAAAGUUCUUUUACUCAUGUAGCGUUCUUUUAUAUAAGCUUUACAAGAAAUUCAUUCCCAUCCUGUUUGCAUUCUUACCAUAUACUUUAGUUCUUCCUGAUUGUGAUUGUGUGCUCUUGUGUGUGUGCAUGUGUAAGACUAUGGGUCUUUUUUCACAUGUAAAGUUUUAUCCAGAAAUCCCUCUACGUGUUAUGCUGAGGUGAAAAAUGAUAAUGUUCAAAAGAUUCUGUAUUGGAUUUGAAUCUGUGUGUGUGUGUAUUUUUAAAGCAUUUGAUAAAGUUUAAAUGUUUUUAUACAGAGAUUUUCGUUCAUUAAAAUCCACCUUCAA